GUGGNCANUCUGCCCUUCACUCUGGGACAAGCCCUGUAAACGGGGUCUAAUACCGGAUAACACCUGCCCGGGCAUCUGGGUGGGUUAAAAGCUCCGGCGGUGAAGGAUGAGCCCGCGGCCUAUCAGCUUGUUGGUGAGGUAGUGGCUCACCAAGGCGACGACGGGUAGCCGGCCUGAGAGGGCGACCGGCCACACUGGGACUGAGACACGGCCCAGACUCAUACGGGAGGCAGCAGUGGGGAAUAUUGCACAAUGGGCGAAAGCCUGAUGCAGCGACGCCGCGUGAGGGAUGACGGCCUUCGGGUUGUAAACCUCUUUCAGCAGGGAAGAAGCGAAAGUGACGGUACCUGCAGAAGAAGCGCCGGCUAACUACGUGCCAGCAGCCGCGGUAAUACGUAGGGCGCAAGCGUUGUCCGGAAUUAUUGGGCGUAAAGAGCUCGUAGGCGGCUUGUCACGUCGGGUGUGAAAGCCCGGGGCUUAACCCCGGGUCUGCAUUCGAUACGGGCUAGCUAGAGUGUGGUAGGGGAGAUCGGAAUUCCUGGUGUAGCGGUGAAAUGCGCAGAUAUCAGGAGGAACACCGGUGGCGAAGGCGGAUCUCUGGGCCAUUACUGACGCUGAGGAGCGAAAGCGUGGGGAGCGAACAGGAUUAGAUACCCUGGUAGUCCACGCCGUAANCGGUGGGAACUAGGUGUUGGCGACAUUCCACGUCGUCGGUGCCGCAGCUAACGCAUUAAGUUCCCCGCCUGGGGAGUACGGCCGCAAGGCUAAANCUCAAAGGAAUUGACGGGGGCCCGCACAAGCAGCGGNNGCAUGUGGCUUAANUUCGACGCAACGCGAAAAACNNUUACCAAGGCUUGANCAUACACCGGAANNCGGCCAGAAGAUGGUCCGCCCCCCUUGG
rnacentral:rRNA from 1 species